rnacentral:rRNA from 1 species
UGUGACCUGGCGGCGUGCUAAUACAUGCAGUCGAGCGAAUGAUGAGGAGCUUGCUCUCUGAUUUAGCGGCGGCGGGUGAGUAACACGUGGGUAAUCUGCCUGUAAGACGGGGAUAACUCCGGGAAACCGGGGCUAAUACCGGAUAACAAGAGAAGAAGCAUUUCUUCUUUUUGAAAGUCGGUUUCGGCUGACACUUACAGAUGAGCCCGCGGCGCAUUAGCUAGUUGGUGAGGUAACGGCUCACCAAGGCGACGAUGCGUAGCCGACCUGAGAGGGUGAUCGGCCACACUGGGACUGAGACACGGCCCAGACUCCUACGGGAGGCAGCAGUAGGGAAUCUUCGGCAAUGGGCGAAAGCCUGACCGAGCAACGCCGCGUGAGCGAGGAAGGCCUUCGGGUCGUAAAGCUCUGUUGUUAGAGAAGAAAAGUACGAGAGUAACUGCUCGUACCUUGACGGUACCUAACCAGAAAGCCACGGCUAACUACGUGCCAGCAGCCGGGGAAUA